UAGGGAAUAUUGGACAAUGGGUGAGAGCCUGAUCCAGCCAUGCCGCGUGCAGGAAGAAGGCGUUAUGCGUUGUAAACUGCUUUUUGCCAGGGGAUAAAAAGACUCUGCGGAGUUUAUUGAAGGUACCUGGUGAAUAAGCCACGGCUAACUACGUGCCAGCAGCCGCGGUAAUACGUAGGUGGCAAGCGUUGUCCGGAUUUAUUGGGUUUAAAGGGUGCGUAGGCGGCCCUGUAAGUCAGUGCUGAAAUAUCCCGGCUUAACCGGGAGGGUGGCAUUGAUACUGCAGGGCUUGAGUACAGAUGAAGUAGGCGGAAUUGACGGUGUAGCGGUGAAAUGCAUAGAUAUCGUCAAGAACACCGAUAGCGAAGGCAGCUUACUAAGCUGUAACUGACGCUGAGGCACGAAAGUGUGGGGAUCAAACAGGAUUAGAUACCCUCGUAGUCCCUGAGCGGGCUGGCAAGGCGCAU
rnacentral:rRNA from 1 species